GGCCAUUGAUACAACACCACACCAAACAAGUAAGUAGGACCAGCAUGAGUUGAAGGCAAGGACUUGGCUCACACGGUUCUAGCUAGUAUGGCUGGGAAAUCAAAUUAAUUGCCUGAUGAUACUACACAAUAUUUCAUAUAGCUAGUAAAAUACUAAAAUUAUUGAAAAUCAAUUAGCUUUUUUUUUUUUUUGAAAAACUGAGUUCUUAUUGCAAAUCAAGAUUGAUAAAGGCUCUUACAUAGACAUUCUCCUUUGAUUUUAUACAUCAGCAAUAUGAACAGUUUAUCCACGAUUGAUCAUCAUCAGGUACAGAAGGGAUUAAUUCAUACAUAAAAUAGUAAAAUAAAACCAAAGAACAUUCAAUCAUCAAACAGUGAUGCAUUAACAUUAAUUAUAAUACUGUUUAUAUGUAGAAAGUACUCCAUGAUUGAUCAUUUGAUGACAAAAAACAGGACUGCAAAUUGCAAAGAAGACAUCAGACCCGGGAAACCAGCCAAACCUUGUUAAUUUCAUUGCCAGCAAAUCUGCCUUGGAAAUUCUAAGAGCAGUUUGAAUAUAUUUCUUAUUGUAACCCUAUCUCUCUAGCUAACCCCAUUCCCCAUAUUUUAUAAGCCAUAACAGGAAAAGAAAAGAAAAACAAGAAUCGAAACCAAGAACAUGAACAUAAACAAGAUAAAGAAGAACAAGUCAAAUGCCUGGCUUUCCCAUGUACGCCGCUAAAUUUAUAAUUUGUUUGCCUCGGUGAAUUCUUCUCCGAGACCAGACUUCCCAAAAGCAAACCCCAUGUGUAUAUCUCUAAUCCUUCUCUGGGCCAAAGAAACUUGCAGGUAAGUUUGAAUGUAUAGCAUGCACGUAUGAUCUGAUCUUGCCAGACAAUUGAUCACGCUUCUUCUUCCUCUUCCUCCUGAUCAGCAUGAGACCCAUUUUCAUUUAUCUCUCCGUAAGUUUGCUUCUCUACUUAUCUCCAGUGCCGAGAAAGCAAGAGAUCAGGAGUAAGAGAUAGCUAAACAAGAAAAGUAAAGAGGAGUAGUGUGUCGUCCUAGAACUUGAACGCUCAACAAGAAGAUUAAUAUAUAAAAAGGGAAUAGAAAAGGAGAGAAAGGGGUAGAGGAAAGGGCGUUCCCAAGAAGAUGACGAGCGUUUCCCGUUAAUGUUGUUUUCAAAGGUUGGGUUUUAAUUUUCUUAAACGUGGGGCCAAUCAAAUGAACAUCAGUCCCCUUUUUGUUUCACACGUUGGGGUGCUUCUCUUUGUCUUCCCUUCUAACAGUCAAUGACUCUUACGUGUUCCUCGAAUCAAUUAGUGGCCUUAGCCUACCCUAAGGGAAUAGAUCAUAUCUUUUGGUUUCAUUAAUUUUGUAUUUUCUUUAAUUACUUUUUGUGCUCAGAAACAUC
rnacentral:lncRNA from 1 species